UGAGUACGAGACGCUAAGGCGUCGAAGUAGUGGAUGUCAUACUUCCAAGAAAAGCUUGCACUGUCAUAAAUAUAAAACGCCUGUACCAUAACCGACACAGGUGGGUAGGUAGAGUAUACUAAGGGGCGCGAGAUAACUCUCUCUAAGGAACUCGGCAAAAUAACUCCGUAACUUCGGGAGAAGGAGUGCCUUAUUCGUAAGGCUGCAAUAACAAGAUCCAAGCAACUGUUUAUCAAAAACACAGGUCUCCGCUAAGUCGUAAGACGAUGUAUGGGGGCUGACGCCUGCCCAGUGCCAGAAGGUUAAAGAAGUCGGUUAGCAUUAGCGAAGCUGGUAACUGAAGCCCUGGUGAACGGCGGCCGUAACGAUAACGGUCCUAAGGUAGCGAAAUUCCUUGUCGGGUAAGUUCCGACCCGCACGAAAGGCGUAAUGAUUUGGAUACUGUCUCGGAGAGGGGCUCGGUGAAAUAGACUUGUCUGUGAAGAUGCGGACUACCUGCACCAGGACAGAAAGACCCUAUGAAGCUUUACUGUAACUUGAAAUUGAAAUUGGACUUUAUUCGCGCAGUAUAGGUGGGAGGUGUUGAUUAUAAUCUUGCGGGAUUAUUGGAGCCAUCAGUGAGAUACCACUCUUGUAAUGUUAGAUUUCUAACUUUGAAUCAUUAUCUGGUCAAAGAACAGUUUCAGGCGGGCAGUUUGACUGGGGCGGUCGCCUCCUAAAUGGUAACGGAGGCGUACAAAGGUUUCCUCUGAACGGGUAGAAAUCGUAUCUAGAGUGUAAAGGCAUAAGGAAGCUUGACUGUGAGACCUACAAGUCGAGCAGGGACGAAAGUCGGUCUUAGUGAUCUGACGGUACUGAGUGGAAAGGCCGUCACUCAACGGAUAAAAGUUACUCUAAGGAUAACAGGCUGAUCUCCCCCAAGAGUUCACAUCGACGGGGAGGUUUGGCACCUCGAUGUCGGCUCAUCGCAUCCUGGGGCGGUAGUACGUCCCAAGGGUUGGGCUGUUCGCCCAUGAAAGCGGUACGCGAGCUGGGUUCAGAACGUCGUGAGACAGUUCGGUCCAUAUCCGGUGUAGGCGUUAGAAUAUUGAGAGGAGCCUUCUUUAGUACGAGAGGACCGAGAAGGACAUACCUCUGGUGUACCAGUUAUCGUGCCAACGGUAAACGCUGGGUAGCUAUGUAUGGAGUGGAUAACCGCUGAAAGCAUCUAAGUGGGAAGCCCACCUCAAGAUAAG
rnacentral:rRNA from 1 species